GUGCGAGACCGAUAGCGAACAAGUACCGUGAGGGAAAGAUGAAAAGAACUUUGAAAAGAGAGUUAAAGAGUACCUGAAACUGCUGAAAGGGAAUCGAAUCGUUUCCAGUGUCUAUAAUCCGUGGCAUAUUUCAUUGGCGAGUGGGUGCGUGCAGCGUUUUGGAAGUGGUUUUCCUCUCCAUACGUUGUUGUGCGUUUGCUUGCUGGUGCCCUGUGUUGCGGUGGGACGUCAGAGUCAGUUUGUAUGCCGCGGGAAAUGGCUGUUAGGGAGGUAGGUCACUUGUGGCUGUUAUAUCCUGGCGUGCUAGUCGUCGUGGUUGAGACUGAGGUGCCUAC
rnacentral:rRNA from 2 species